CGUUUCAGUAAAUCGUGUUACGUUUCUUCGUGCACGCCAUACGGAGGAUAAAGUUCUCUGUAAUAUUUCCUUUUCCUUCGCCUGUCUGUCAUCGUUUUCUCUUUCUUUUCGAGACAAUACGAAGAAAACGGGACGAAGGAAGCUGAAAUACUAGAAUUUAGUCGGCAAAUACAUUUUUUUAGAUACCGCACGACCCUACCACGUAUUCGAUAACGAGUCAGGAUAGGGAUCUCGCAUAUUACGUUCUCAGGCAUACGGCGUACGGAUAUUUUGCUCUUUUACCGCUCGCAAUUUCGUGUAUGUCGCAAAAGUAUUACGAUAUCCGGUGAUCUCAUACGAAACACGGUAAUUGAUGGAGACUGUUGGAGGGACGAUCGAUGUAUCGGAAUUUCGCGUAUUCGUACGAGAUCGCGAUUUCGAAUCGCGCAGGAAAUAUUCUGUUAUUUGCCACAGCUAGAGGCAAAUAACGAACGAAUAACUUCUGAGAUGUAUUCAAUUUUAUUACGUUGUUUUUGGUUAGAUCGGUUUAUUACACCGGUUAUACGUAUGCGGUGUCGUAUAAAAAUUCUAACCACUGUUAAAUAAAACGAUAAAAAAGCAAGCAAUGGAUGCUAUAAACGAGAUGUUAUGAAAGCAUUUUUACAUUUCAUGCUCGAACAAUACGAAACCGUUAUCAAUGUACGUAGACAGAGUAAUGUUUGCUCGGAAAGUUCGUUCCGAUUUCCAAGGAAUUUAAUAAAAUAAUUAUUUUUGCUUAGUGCCUCUCCACCGGGGAAAUUGUUUUCAAGUGUAUCACGCCGGAAAACGUAAUUGGAAGUAUCUUAAAAUAUCAUCGUUGAUUUUUAAUCAAAUAUUACGCUUGUUAAAUGCUGCUCGGAAGGUUCGUUCCGAUUUUUAAAGAAUUUAGUAAAGUAAUCAAUUUUGCUUGGUACCUCUCCAUCGAGGAAAUUGUUUUCAAGCGCAUCACGCUAAAAAACGUUACUAGAAGUAUCUUCAAAUAUCAUCGUUGAUUUCUAAUCAAAUAUUACGCUUGUUAAGUGCUGCUCCGAUAGUUCGUUCCGAUUUUUAACUGUUCGGUCGACAUAGAAAAUUAUAUCGGAAAGUUUUUCGCCAAAAAAUAUCCUAUCUGUAUAAUUCGAUAAACAUAUAUCGGAACGAACUUUCGGAGCGACCGUUUUUCAAUCGCUGGAAAAACAGGCGGAAAUUCGGGCUAUAUGCUUGUCAGAGCACACGGUCCCCAGAGUGUUAAAUUACGCGAUCUUUUAACCGAAACCUCGUUUGAACCUCGAUUAAAAUUCCGAGGAGCUACAUUGGUAGUAAACUUUACUACAAACUCUCUUAGUCUGUUAUCGUCUGAAUAGAGCGAGAUCAUUAAGAGCGUUAAUUUAAGAGGACGAAGAGCAACAAGAAUCGACGAUUUCUCGAGCUAAUCCGGUAGUAGCUGGAUUGAUUAAUGGAACGACUGACGAUCCUUUUCAUCGAAACGGAUCCAUGGCAAUAGGAUUUUACAGGGGAAUACCGCUAUUGUUAGAGUGGCACGUGUAUGUACAUAGGGUAUUCCAAUCAUCCGCCGCAGUGAUCGGAAGAGAGCAGUAGACGUAAAUAAUGGUGUGCGAAAUUUUACGUUCGCACCAGAAAUAGAACGUUUCUUGCCAACACCGGACGGAUCCGGCGAACAGGAACGUGUCUCGAUACGCCGAGAAAAGAAUAUUCCUCGAUGAGGAAAAGAUCGAGUCAUUGGGAAUAUCAUUUUAUUCGUCAUAUUCCAAAUAUAAUUGAUCUUACUUCGAAAAAUCUGUUUCUUUCCUCGACCGUUCGAAGAACCUUUGCUGUACCGUCGCGCGUGUUCGUAAUUUUAAAACACGUUUACUCGUAACGUGGAUUCACGUUCUCACGUAUAUCGCGUGGUCCGAUAAAUAUUGCAUUAAAAAAAAAAAAAAAAAAUGAAAAUUAGCAAGUGAAUAUCUCCGUUGUUCUUGGAGAUACGAGAAAGCUUUAUCAACGAAAGUUAUUUGGCACAGUGAAGACUGUAACAGUAGGCAGUGAUAAUAUUUUUGCAGCUGGAGGAAUUUUCGACGUUCCAAGGUUGUUUCCACUUUUUUUUAAAACAGCAUUGUAUAUAUUUCUCGUGCAUUAUUUGACGCACGUUGGACGUUCUCUCUGUAAAAAAAUAUUAACCCGCGUAUGUGGAAAUAUUAUUAGUUUAGGUGAUAUCUUAACUUUAGUUUGUCUAAUUUAACGUAUGAAAGACGAAGACAACAUAAGCAGAAGAAUUCCGUUUUGUGUUUUUCCUUGUCCUUUGUACGUUAAACUCGACGAAUUAAAGUUAAAGUAUCUCCUAAAUUAAUGAUUUGUCGAGAUACAUAGAUUGAUACUUGAUAUUUCAUAGAGAAUGUCAAGCAUCGACUAACAUAUAAAAUAUAUACAAAUAUAAUGCAAAUAUACGAUGCAAAAUUAUUAGAAAAAAUUAUUUCUCCCAUAUUGUAGCCUCCUCUGUAUUAAACAACUUUCCUUAACAAAUCUUUUUCGUAUCUCCAAAAACAAUGGCGAUAUUCAAACGUUUGGUUUUAUUGGCUCAUUCUGUAUUACAACAAAUAUAAAAAUGGGAUGAGUACGUAACGCAUGAUCCAAGGUAUUUCGAGUCUUUUUGAUAAAUUAACAAAAAAGUCAGUUUACGAGAAGUAACGUCCGAUUAAAAAUUUCAUGGGGAAAUUUCAAGGCUGUGUACCACGUCGGAGAGAAAAAUGUUAAAUAUCUGUGACACAGAUAAAAUGUUCUCGACUACUUACGAGCGUUGAAAUACUUUCGCCAGCCCGCGUAUAUACGUGCAUAUUCUUAGAUUUUUGUAGAUCAUAAAACGUAAAUCAAGAUUCCCUUCCCAUCGAGAUUAAAACCGGAAAAAACUUCAAGGUUCCAUGGAAACUGAGCUGAAGCGAGACGAAGAUUGCCAAGAGCGAGGGGUAUUCGGUACGGGCAAACAGAAACUUCGCGCAAAGGCUAAUAAAGCUCGGGCUAGUUUGUUGGACGAGCGGAAACUUGCAUCGCUUCUGUGGGAUUCUUGAUCGUUGCGUCCGAGAAUGUGGAUAACGCGUAUCGCUAUCGAUCGUACGUGCGUUUAUGUAACGAGAUUAAGAAAAUAAUAAAUAGCGGAGUUGAUUAGUUUAGCCCGAGAUAGGCCCACUUGCUCGCAACCAGAUAUCUUGCAACUUUUAUGUACGUUCGAAGCUUCAACAACGUGACCCCGUUAAACUGCAGAUUUUUACGCGUCUGUUUAAAAAACUGUAAGAUACAACGAUAAACGCGCGUAACACGCAAAAAGUAUAUAAGAUAUUCAAAGCAGAGUACUCUUUUAUAAUACGCGAUAUGAGGAUGAAACAGAUGUCUGCUUCAGUUUCCUUGGUUGUUUGUAAAAAUAUAAAUUUGUAAAUUCGUAUCAUGUACUUUCGUGUCAUAUAUUCAGGAGCAUUCAGGUACGCGCCAGUGAACCUAUCGUAUCUGCUCGUAAUAUUAAAACGUCUCGUAUAAAAAUAGCGACACGUUUACUCCAUUCUAUAAGUCGAUCGUAAACGUAGCUCUCGUUACAAAAGCCAUUUGUACUCGGAUGUAAAUGUUACGUAUUUCCUUAUGCAUUUAUUCGUAGGGAUCGCUUAACGCGCUAUAAAACGGAAGAGGUUGAAAGACGUUGCGCGACUCUCUUUACCGGAGUCGGAAUGCAGACAAUAGGGAUGGCCUUUGAGUUCCUACAGUCAAAGAAAGGCUAUUCCUUGGUCGCGAUUAUUGAUUCGAAAGUAUGCCGGCGACGAAGAAAAAGGGGGAAAAAAUAAGGGAGGGGAAAGCGAGAAGCAUCGUCAUAUAGUUUUUCCGAGACGUCGUUCUAACGAAGAUGGGCGCGGUUCGAGCCGCGUUUCUACGCAGCUUUCGCAGAUUGAAUCCCAGCACUUAGGCUCUGACUCAUUCUACGGCCUGCUUGGAUAGGGUUUCUUGCGGAAUUCCGGAACACCACCCUGCUGUCGCGACGAAAUUACACGUGCCGCUCUUCACUCUGCAUUUUCGUUUCUCCUACGGUAUAUCUUUUUGUUAUUGUGAUCCGAGAUGUUCCAUGGAUUAUUUGAAUAAUAAAAAUAAAAAAAGAAAAAGAGAGAAAAAAAAAUCACAAUUUAAGUGUUAGUAAUUCAACACCAUUUAAGUAUGCGAGUCAAUGCCAUCGUGGUAAACGCUGUGGGAGUAUUUCGCAUUCAGGCCAACUUAAACUGUCGUAAUUAAUGCUCAUUAUCAUCGAUUAGUAGAUUGCGCAUAAGCAGAUAUCAAAGAAAGAAGAAAGAUGUGGUAACUUCUUUCGCAUAAAAUCUAUCUAUGAUGGAAAAGUAACUUAUUUAUCCCAUUUAUCAUACCACGGACAAAGAUUAAGGGAACGAUCUAAUCAAAUAAUUUAAGUUGAUUAAAUAGUUGAAAUAACUUAAACGACGCUUUGGGUCAAAUUGUACGACCGUACCUAUCGACAAUAAAACGUUUUCGAUUUUGCGGUAUUGUAUUAGAGACGAAGGUCCAAACAGUG